GACGAACCGUGCGAACGUUGUUCGGAAUCACUGGGCUUAAAGGGCGCGUAGGCGGGCUGCCAAGUCUGUGGUGAAAUCCUCCAGCUUAACUGGAGAACGGCCGUGGAUACUGGCGGUCUCGAGGGAGAUAGGGGUAAGCGGAACUGUGCGUGGAGCGGUGAAAUGCGUUGAUAUGCACAGGAACUCCGGUGGCGAAGGCGGCUUACUGGAUCUCUUCUGACGCUGAGGCGCGAAAGCUAGGGUAGCGAACGGG
rnacentral:rRNA from 1 species